AAAAAACUACUCACUUAGGUGGAGGGGAGGUGCUGGAGGGAGCAGGUAGAGCAGGAAAGGGGAGGGAAAAUCUCUCUGAACACCACUGCUGCUCAAAACAGGAAAAUUGCAAGCCAGUACUUAAGGGAAAAGCUCUAGAACAGCUUACAGGGGCACAUUUUCAAAGAAAAUUCACACUUUUCACUCAGCGACUCAUAUGUAAACGCAGUAUAGUGUAUUUUCACUGUCAACAUAGCAGCCUGAAAUGUUCACUAAUAAAUGUUUGAUCACA